UCCUUGGUAGCUUAGUUGGUAAAGAAUCUGCCUGCUGUGCAGGAGACCUAGGUUCAAUCCCUGGGAUGGGAA
rnacentral:tRNA from 1 species